UAAAAGGGCGGCUGGUGGCAACCACACUGUGAGCCUGACUUCGCAGUGCAGAAUCGCCAUCAAGAGAUUCUGGUCGCAUAAUUUUUGACUCGGGUAGCCGGUGAUGCCCUCGGGGCUCUGGCACCCUC